AUUGAACGCUGGCGGCAGGCCUAACACAUGCAAGUCGAGCGAGCGGCGGACGGGUGAGUAAUGUAUGGGGAUCUGCCCGAUAGAGGGGGAUAACUACUGGAAACGGUGGCUAAUACCGCAUACCAUCGGAUGUGCCCAGAUGGGAUUAGCUAGUAGGUGGGGUAACGGCUCACCUAGGCGACGAUCCCUAGCUGGUCUGAGAGGAUGACCAGCCACACUGGAACUGAGACACGGUCCAGACUCCUACGGGAGGCAGCAGUGGGGAAUAUUGCACAAUGGGCGCAAGCCUGAUGCAGCCAUGCCGCGUGUAUGAAGAAGGCCUUCGGGUUGUAAAGUACUUUCAGUCGGGAGGCGUUACCGACAGAAGAAGCACCGGCUAACUCCGUGCCAGCAGCCGCGGUAAUUC
rnacentral:rRNA from 1 species